AACAGUCAGACCUACUAUCACUGGAAAAAUGCUAUGCCACUCCAAUUACCCCGACUCUGACUUCACUUUUUUACUCCUGUGUGAUUUCAUGCAGUGACUGAAUCAUAUCUAUCUCAGCUCUAAAUCAUUAUUAUAGUUUUAUGUGUAUAUUGACCGAAUGACAUUAUGUGGCCAUUCAUCAUGCACCAAUGGAAACAAAGCAGUAUCCAUCUGGAGCAGGGAAAAGGAAGAGAAGAACGGAAGAAGAAGAAAAAUAAGCUCAAACUUGAGGUUUGUUUCAGAAUGGGAUAUGCUGAAAUGUGUAAGCGCUAGUGUAAGAGCUGCAGAGACAAGCCAUCUAAGGAUAUUCCUGGGGCCUCAUUUAUAUACAAAUGGGCUCCCUCUCCUCAUCUCCCCUAACCAAUACCCUGAUUACUGUGGCCCAAAGCAUCUCUACCUACCGGACACGCAUACAGUGAGGAAGUCAUGUGCCAACUGUGAAUAACUGAGACCAGUGCAGUGGUAUAUUACGUAAGUCCUUUCAAUGUCAUUUGAUAUUUCUAACAUGAUAUCUUUCAUUCAUUUCAUUUGUCAAGUUUUUAGUAUUGUGUCUUGUAACGCAGCAUCCUCUGUUAAGGGCCCAUGGUCUAAUCUCUUCUAGGGCGUCACAGACCGUUCGGCCAGCCUUGCUCCAUGUUGUCUACAACAAGCAGAAUGCAGGUUACUGUGCUGUUUAAAGGGAACUUGUUUACCAUUUGUGGUCAUUUUGGGGCAUAUCUUUAUGCAAAUAAGCGUGGCCGUGCAGGACCACAGCAGUUUAGUGUGCUUAUGUGUUAAUAGUUUUUUACAAAAGCAAGUAG
ensembl:lncRNA